GAUGAACGCUAGCUACAGGCUUAACACAUGCAAGUCGAGGGGAAACGAUAGAGAAAGCUUGCUUUUUCUAGGCGUCGACCGGCGCACGGGUGAGUAACGCGUAUCCAACCUGCCCACCACUUGGGGAUAACCUUGCGAAAGUAAGACUAAUACCCAAUGAUAUCUCAAGAAGACAUCCGAAUGAGAUUAAAGAUUUAUCGGUGAUGGAUGGGGAUGCGUCUGAUUAGCUUGUUGGCGGGGUAACGGCCCACCAAGGCGACGAUCAGUAGGGGUUCUGCGAGGAAGGUCCCCCACAUUGGAACUGAGACACGGUCCAGACUCCUACGGGAGGCAGCAGUGAGGAAUAUUGGUCAAUGGGCGAGAGCCUGAACCAGCCAAGUAGCGUGCAGGAUGACGGCCCUAUGGGUUGUAAACUGCUUUUAUAAGGGAAUAAAGUGAGUCUCGUGAGACUUUUUGCAUGUACCUUAUGAAUAAGGACCGGCUAAUUCCGUGCCAGCCGCCGCCGUAA
rnacentral:rRNA from 1 species